rnacentral:tRNA from 1 species
AAAGUCCUGGCUUAAUGAAAGCGUCUGUGUUGCAUUCAGAAGAUGCAGGUUAAUGUCCUGCGGAUUUUA